UUUAUGGAGAGUUUGAUCCUGGCUCAGGACGAACGCUGGCGGCGUGCUUAACACAUGCAAGUCGAACGGUAAGGCCCUUCGGGGUACACGAGUGGCGAACGGGUGAGUAACACGUGGGUAAUCUGCCCUGCACUUCGGGAUAAGCCUGGGAAACUGGGUCUAAUACCGGAUAUUCAGUUCUU
rnacentral:ncRNA from 1 species